GUGAUCUCACUAAUAGGUGUUUAUUGCCCUCCUGGAGCCACAGUUGCUGUGUCAUCUCAAGGCUGGAAUUCUGGAUGAAGAGGAGGAGCUUUUUUGGGGUAGAACCUGAAGGAUGGGGAUGGGGCAUUCAUUUAUUCAUAAAAUUAUAUGCUCUCCUUGGACAUAUAGAAAAAAUCGUGUAUGGCAGAUGAACCUGACAGCAAUAACAUAAGUGUAUCCCAAGAAUGACACUGUAUGGCAGAUGAACCUGACAGCAACAAGUUAAGCAUACCCUGAGAAUGACCAUAUGGUCUAAGAAGAAUGCAUAUUCAGAGUUGGGAGCUACAGAAUCUGGGUGUGGCCAACCUGGAGAUUCAUUCCUUGUCUAUGAG
rnacentral:lncRNA from 10 species